rnacentral:tRNA from 2 species
CGCGGCGUAUAUCAGAGGUAGAUUAUUAGGCUCAUAACCUAAAGGACGGUGGUUCGAUUCCACCCGCCGCAA